AAAGGAAUAGACGGGGGCUCACACAAGCGGUGGAGCAUGUGGAUUAAUUCGAAGCAACGCGCAGAACCUUACCUGGGUUUGACAUGUUUGGAUGUCUGCUUGGAAACAGGUUAGACUGCCCUCUUUUGAGGGUGAAACUUACACAGGUGCUGCAUGGCUGUCGUCAGCUCGUGUCGUGAGAUGUUGGGUUAAGUCCUUAAACGAGCGAAACCCUUACCGUUAGUUACCAUCAGGUUAUGCUGGGGACUUUAGCGGGACUGCCGGUGUUAAACCGGAGGAAGGUGGGGAUGACGUCAAGUCCUCAUGGCCUUUAUGCCCAGGGCUUCACACGUGCUACAAUGGUGAUGACAAUGCGAAGCUAAGCCGCGAGGUGGUGCAAAUCGCUUAAACAUUGCCUCAGUUCGGAUUGCAGGCUGACAACUCGCCUGCAUGAAGUUGGAAUCGCUAGUAAUCGCGUAUCAGCUAUGACGCGGUGAAUAUGUUCCUGAGCCUUGUACACACCGCCCGU
rnacentral:rRNA from 1 species